rnacentral:rRNA from 1 species
ACGGAGGGUGCGAGCGUUGUUCGGAAUUACUGGGCGUAAAGCGCGUGUAGGCGGCUUUCUAAGUCUGGUGUGAAAGCCCGGGGCUCAACCCCGGAAGUGCAUUGGAUACUGGGAAGCUGGAGUACCGGAGAGGAGGGUGGAAUUCCUGGUGUAGCGGUGAAAUGCGUAGAUAUCAGGAGGAACACCGGUGGCGAAGGCGGCCCUCUGGACGGAUACUGACGCCGAGACGCGAAAGCGUGGGGAGCAAACAGGA